rnacentral:rRNA from 1 species
CAGUAGCCGCGGUAAUACGUAGGGUGCGAGCGUUAAUCGGAAUUACUGGGCGUAAAGCGUGCGCAGGCGGUUUUGUAAGACAGGCGUGAAAUCCCCGGGCUCAACCUGGGAAUGGCGCUUGUGACUGCAAAGCUAGAGUGCGGCAGAGGGGGAUGGAAUUCCGCGUGUAGCAGUGAAAUGCGUAGAUAUGCGGAGGAACACCGAUGGCGAAGGCAAUCCCCUGGGCCUGCACUGACGCUCAUGCACGAAAGCGUGGGGAGCAAACAGGAUUAGAGACCCCCGUAGUCCCUGUCUCUUAUAC